rnacentral:lncRNA from 1 species
CUGACCCACAGCCCAGCUGCGUUCAGUGCAAGAGGAGCUGGACAGUCUUGAGGAGGAGAAGGCCAGUGAGCUCUGGGAGGCACAGGAGGAGCUGCGUGUGGCAGAGGAGGAGGUGCAGGAGCUGCAGCAGGCGGCGGAGGAGGCGGCAGCUGAGCGAGAGAAUGACAUCGCUCUGCUGCAGGAGGAACUGUGCCGUCUGCGCGCCACGCUGGAGCGUCUGCGGGGCACCACGCAGGAGUAUGAGCUAGAGCUGACCACACUGCGGGCCGAAAUCAGCAUGAAGAACCAGCGCAGAGAAGAGCAGGAGAAAGCAGGAGGAGAAGGUGACAUGGACCAGCUGAUGGAGGAGUGUCGCUGCUUGAAGGACGAGUGUCAGACUCUGAAGAACGACAACAAGCAGCUCUCUGAGAAACUGGAGAUGUUGGAGCAGCAGCGAGCCAGCUCAGCUGAUUCAUGCCUGGCCCUCAAAGCAGAGCAGAAUGAUGGAGAAAAUGACACAGAAAAAGAUGUAGAGAAAGAGGUGAUGGCCGAGGGUUUCGUCAGCACGUUGGAAGUAGGAGGUGGGAAUCUGGUGGAUGCUUACACCCAAAAGAACAUCUCCUUUGAGGGGAAACCCAUCACCCCGAUCGGGAUGAGUGGAGGGUUUUCGGAGGUGUUCUCCCUCAGAG